rnacentral:rRNA from 1 species
GAUGAACGCUGGCGGCGUGCUUAACACAUGCAAGUCGAACGAAGCACCUUGAUUCGAUUCUUCGGAUGAAGAUCUUGGUGACUGAGUGGCGGACGGGUGAGUAACGCGUGGGUAACCUGCCUCAUACAGGGGGAUAACAGUUAGAAAUGACUGCUAAUACCGCAUAAGACCACAGCACCGCAUGGUGCAGGGGUAAAAACUCCGGUGGUAUGAGAUGGACCCGCGUCUGAUUAGGUAGUUGGUGGGGUAACGGCCUACCAAGCCGACGAUCAGUAGCCGACCUGAGGGGGUGACCGGCCACAUUGGGACUGAGACACGGCCCAAACUCCUACGGGAGGCAGCAGUGGGGAAUAUUGCACAAUGGGGGAAACCCUGAUGCAGCGACGCCGCGUGAGCGAUGAAGUAUUUCGGUAUGUAAAGCUCUAUCAGCAGGGAAGAAAAUGACGGUACCUGACUAAGAAGCACCGGCUAAAUACGUG